rnacentral:rRNA from 1 species
UGGCGGACGGGUGAGUAACGCGUGGGUAACCUGCCCUGUACAGGGGGACAACAGUUAGAAAUGACUGCUAAUACCGCAUAAGCGCACAGGACCGCAUGGUCCGGUGUGAAAAACCCCGGUGGUACAGGAUGGACCUGCGUCUGAUUAGGUAGUUGGCGGGGUAACGGCCCACCAAGCCGACGAUCAGUAGCCGACCUGAGAGGGUGACCGGCCACAUUGGGACUGAGACACGGCCCAAACUCCUACGGAAGGCAGCAG